UCCAACACCCCAGCCAGCAACUCCUAGCCCAUCAAUCAUAGUAGUGUGUGAGUCAGUACCAACCAAACCAUCAGGAUAGAGGAUGCCAUCAGUGUUAAAGACAACCCGUCCAAGGCACUCCAGAUUAACCUGGUGAACAAUUCCAGAACCAGGAGGAACAACAAGCAUGUUAUGGAAAGCAGAAGCACCCCAUUUGAGGAAAGCAAACCUCUCUUUGUUCCUCUGAAAUUCAAAUUCCAUAUUUGCUUGCACAGCAUUUUCAGAUCUUGCUACAUCUACCUGAACUGAAUGGUCAAUGACAAGGUCUACUGGAACCAGUGGGUUAAUCUUUUUAGGCUCACUGCCAAGAUUCUUUAUAGCAUCCCG
rnacentral:misc_RNA from 1 species